UGACCUACGGGGGGCAGCAGUGGGGAAUAUUGGGCAAUGGAGGAAACUCUGACCCAGCCAUGCCGCGUGAGUGAUGAAGGCUCUAGGGUUGUAAAGCUCUUUCGCCGAUGAAGAUAAUGACGGUAGUCGGAGAAGAAGCCCCGGCUAACUUCGUGCCAGCAGCCGCGGUAAUACGAAGGGGGCUAGCGUUGUUCGGAAUUACUGGGCGUAAAGCGCGCGUAGGCUGUGCCGCAAGUCAGAGGUGAAAUCCCGGAGCUUAACUCCGGAACUGCCUUUGAAACUGCGGUGCUGGAAUCUCAGAGGGGGUAGCGGAAUUCCAAAUGUAGGGGUGAAAUCCGUAGAUAUUUGGAGGAACACCGGUGGCGAAGGCGGCUACCUGGCUGAGUAUUGACGCUGAGGCGCGAAAGCGUGGGGAUCAAACAGGAUUAGAUACCCUGGUAGUC
rnacentral:rRNA from 1 species